GGAGAGGCGGGACUUCCGGUCGGCGCCGCCUGCGAAGUGCUCCGCGGCCGGCGGAGACGCGGGCAGCCAGCGAUGGCCGCGGAGGGGGCGAACUGGGUUCCGGCCCUCGGAGGCUGACGGAAGGCGGUGGCUGAGGAGCGGCGCCUCUGGUUGAGCGCUCGCCGUGUGUCCCGCACCUGUCUGUCCUGCCGCCGCCCGGUAAGCACAGCACAGCACCGCACAUCUCCAGUCGGACUGGCUACAUUUCAAGGGCUCAACCAUCACGCGUUACCAGUGGCUACUGCAUCAGACUGUGCAGUGCUAGAUGGGGAGUCAGAAGAGAAACCAAGUGAUUUCCAUGUCAAGUGGUGAACAGGCUAAGAAGAAAACCUACUCCGAGUGAAGAUGAUGAAGAUGAAGACCGUUAUGAUCCACUUCCACUUAAUGAAAGAUGAAUAUAUUUUCUCUUCCUAAUGAUUUUUUUUUUUUUUUUUUUGGAGACAGAGUCUCGCUGCAUCCCCCAGGCUGGAGUACAGUGGUAUGAUCUUGGCUCACUGCAACCUCUGCCUCCUAGGUUCAAGUGAUUCUCCUGCCUCAGUCUCCCGAGUAGCUGGGAUUACAGGCGCCCACCACCAUGCCCGGCUAAUUUUUGUAUUUUUAGUAGAGAUGGGGUUUCACUAUGUUGGCCAGGCUGGUCUCAAACUCCUGACCUCAGGUGAUCUGCCUGACUUGGCCUCCCAAAGUGCUGGGAUUACAGGCAUGAGCCACCUUGCCUGGCCUCUUCCUAAUGAUUUUUUAAAGUACAUCUUGUUUUCUCUGUCUUACUUUAUCAUAAAAAUAUAUGAUACAAAUAAAAUACAGAAUAUGUGUUAAUGGACUGUGUAUGUUAUGAGUAAGCCUUCCAGUCGACAGUGGGCUAUUAUUGGUGGUUAAGUUUUGGGGGAGUGUGUGUUCAAGGGUCAACCGCACUUCCUGAGGGCACUGUGAGAACUAAGUUAAAUAACCCACUUUUACAAUCUUUGGAACCGGGGGCAGGUGGCUGGGGCUCACACCUGUAAUUACAGCACUUUGGGAGGCUGAGGCAGGAAGAUCCCUUGAGGCCAAGAGUUUGAGACCAGCCUGGGCAACAAAGCAAGACUCUGUCUCUACAAAAAUUUU
rnacentral:lncRNA from 10 species